GAAGAAAGAUCAGGAGAAGAAGCCAUCAAUUACAGUCAUUCAGGGACCCAAGCCAGGCAAGCCUACUGAUCUUUCAAGGAUGCGUCAGUUACUGGUGAAACUGAAACACACUCCCCCUCCUCACAUGAAGCCUCCGCCGCCUCCUGCCAAGGAAACCCCUGCCACAGCCAAAGGUGGAGCCGCUGGAGCCGCUGCAAAAGACGGUGCAAAGGAUGGAAAGAAACCUGCAUCACCUGCAAAAGAAGCUGCUGCAGCUAGUGCCCCUUCUACUUUGCCACCCAAGGAAG
rnacentral:misc_RNA from 1 species